UUUUCCCUAAUUAAUGAUUAAUUAACAGUCCAUGUUAGGACUGUUUCAAGUUAAAUUAGAGCCUUGAGAUGUUGGAACUAUUCUCCCCCUCGUCAUGAGGAACCUAGCUUCCUCCAGAUCCCUUUGGCUCCAGCAGACACAGAUACGGCAUAAGAGACUCCCUACCCCACUGUGGUUGUCAGCUGUCAGGGAUGAUGCCAUCUGGGGGUGGUAACUGCUGCUGCACCAGGGUAGCCUCAGAAGGCAUUUCAGUUCUUUAGGUCUCAGUGUCCUCUGAGACAGAGUGGUCCAUUUCCAACAGAGUGGAAAUACUACUGUUUGCCUUAUCGUUGUGUGGUGAGAAUCAAGUAAAGCCUGGAGUAAGGUAAAGCCCAGCACUGAACCAGGCAGAGAGUAGGUGUGAAAUAGAGAGUAACUAGUUUUCUCAUAACUAAUCCUUGAAAGUUAAGUCUUUUCCCUAAUGAACCGUGCCCAGUCAGUGUACUAGGGUUCUUCCUAGUAUCUAUAAUAUCUGCCUUCCCCUCACAGUUCUACCUGAUUUUGGGAUCUCAGCUCCCAUCCUGCCUCUUCCACAAAACUGUCUGUAUCUGGAAUGCUCUACCAAGGAUGCAUAGAGUACUUCGGAACUGGCCUAAUGAAUAUAGAAGUGAGUGGUUAAUUAAAAACGGGGUCUACAUGCAGGGCUGCCACAUAUGGCUGCACAGGUGCAUUGCCUAAGCUUAGGAGUACUGUAGGGGAGUAGGGCCCCAAUGAGUUGUGUAAAGAGGUUGUGUCUGCAAAUAAAAUGGACCGAGUUUGAUUUUUGACUCAACCACUUAUCAACUGUUUGAUGAAGCAAGGUAUAUAACCUUAGAAGACUCCCAUGUCCUCAUCUGAAUGGGAUGUUAUUAGUACCUGCCAUAUGUAGUAGUUGAAAAGAUUGUUUAAUGAGCUUAUAAUGUGCCUGGUACAGAGCUAAUAUUUGCUGAGCAGUUAAAAUUAAUGUAAACUAAGUGUGGGUAUCUUUUAUUUAUGAGACGGCUAUAAGCAACUUGGGGACAAUGAGUCACUGAAAAUUUGCAACAGCUAUGCCCCGCACCCCCAUACCUAGCAGGAGGCAAGGCCCCAUGCUGCCCUCUCUCUCAAGGCCCUACUCCAUCUUUCUUUUUGCUAAAUCCACUUUUAUUAGCCCUUUUUUAGUUGACAAAUGGCACAACUCCAGAGCAAACUAGCUUAAAUCAAAAGGAGCAUGUGUGGGCUGCCGCCAUUGGUAGGACCAAUGGAGGUUCUAGGGUUCUAGCUUCAUCAUGUGGACUCUCCUUUUCCAUCUCCUGCCUCUGCUUCUGUGAGGUGGCUUUAUUCUCAGGUUCUUCCAUGUGGGAGGAAAGUGGAUCACCAGAUGGUCUAACCUUACAUUCUAUGGCUUUUGAUCCAAAAGAAAACCAUCCUCUCCGCAUCCACAGAGCAAACUUAUGGAAGGCCUCUGACUGGCUCAGCUCAGGUCACAUGCCCAUCCUUUACACCAAUCAUCAUGGCUAAAGGGAUAGGGUACUGUGAUUGGCUAAGCUGGGGUCAUAUAUCCACCCUAGUUUGACAUCCCUACAAAACCACAGGGAAUGGGGAAGAGGCAGUUUUACAAAAGAAGUGCUGGGCAUACGAGAAUGUUAGCUGACCUUACCAUCCUUUGUGGAUCAGUUCACAGGUCACUUUCUCCAGGAAACUUGCCCUCCCUUCUCCCAUGUGAACCUCGACCUUCACACUCUGACUAGUCUGGGAACAACUUGAGGCAGGGACAAGAGCUUAUUUAUUCAUCUGUAUCUGCCGAGCUUCCGGCCCAGCUUGUGGAAGGAUUUAUUGGUAGCCUGUGCAGCGUCCAUUUCCCCUUCCCACUCAGAUCUUUGUAGGUUCCACCCUCUCCCCCGACUGCCUAGGACACUUAGUCAGCAAGCAGAUUCCACUCUCACUAGUUUAAGCCCAUUAGAGUCAUCCCUUUCCAGUGACUAGUUAGGAAUGGGACAGUGAGAUUUAGUUUGGGCCAGUAAGUCAUAAGGAUGUCUGGGAAAGGCUUCUUGCUCUUCCGGGUAGUGCAUGGAAGCCAGCUGGCUCCCUCCUGCCCUCUCAAGAUGUACCUAAAUGAGGAAGCAUUUGGCCUCUGUCAGCUGCUGCUGGCUGCCACUGACCAUCUGUGGGGAACCGACUUUAGGCAAAAGCUGACACUGUGGAAGGGCAGCUUGGAAACAUCUGGGUCCUUGAUGGCUCUGCUGAAUUGCUAGAUUGGCCAACCCAGGGGACCAAUCUGCCCCGGGGCCAGCAAGCCCCUAGCCACACCUUUUCUUGUCAAUCCAAUUUGAGUUGGAGGUGUUUUGUUAUCUGUUAUCUGCAGCCACAAGUAUCCUCAAGAAGUUCUUCCUGAAAUGAAUGACAUGGUGAGUGGUCACAGGCUGAGAACCACUAGGCAUGCCCUCCUGAACUUUUGCCAUCCACACCAGUUCCUUUCCACCCCGCAAUAGCAGACAUUCAGAGAUGCUGGAUGCUUUUUUAAAAACCACAGUAGUCACUUUACUCUUAAGUUUGUACUUUUACAAAACCACAAAGGAGAAGUCCUUGAGGGAAAGAGGGGUGGGGGUAGGGAAUGGGGGGUUGGUGAAGAGGGGGAAGAGGAAGGCCCAGAAAUAAAGUCCCCCCUUCAUCUUGGGGAUCAAGCAGAGACUGGGUCCCAGGACAGCCCAGCUGGGCCCCCCAUGUCCUGGCUAUACAGAGCUAGGCCAAAAAGACCUCAGGGAAAGGCCACAGUCCUCUAGAGGCUGUCACCAUUUGACAGGCAGCCACAGGCUGAGGGUUCCAGCAGCCCAAAGAAGGAAGUGGCACUACCCGUCCAGCAGUUUUAGGAUGCUCUCACGCUCCUUCAGAGUCUUCCAGGCCUGGUCCUUCUCCUUCUUGGUGGGGGUCCGCUUCUUCUGCCGGGCAGCCAUGAUCUUGCGAAAGGCAUCCAUGACCUCAUUGUCUGC